CUACGGGCCGCUCCAGUGGGGAAUAUUGCACAAUGGGCGCAAGCCUGAUGCAGCCAUGCCGCGUGUAUGAAGAAGGCCUUCGGGUUGUAAAGUACUUUCAGCGGGGAGGAAGGGAGUAAAGUUAAUACCUUUGCUCAUUGACGUUACCCGCAGAAGAAGCACCGGCUAACUCCGUGCCAGCAGCCGCGGUAAUACGGAGGGUGCAAGCGUUAAUCGGAAUUACUGGGCGUAAAGCGCACGCAGGCGGUUGGUUAAGUCAGAUGUGAAAUCCCCGGGGCUCAACCUGGGAACUGCAUCUGAUACCGGCAAGCUUGAGUCUCGUAGAGGGGGGUAGAAUUCCAGGUGUAGCGGUGAAAUGCGUAGAGAUCUGGAGGAAUACCGGUGGCGAAGGCGGCCCCCUGGACGAAGACUGACGCUCAGGUGCGAAAGCGUGGGGAGCAAACAGGAUUAGAUACCCCUGUAGUC
rnacentral:rRNA from 1 species